rnacentral:rRNA from 1 species
UACGGAGGGUGCAAGCGUUAUCCGGAUUCACUGGGUUUAAAGGGUGCGUAGGUGGGUUGGUAAGUCAGUGGUGAAAUCUCUGGGCUUAACUCAGAAACUGCCGUUGAUACUAUUUGUCUUGAAUAUCCUGGAGGUAGGCGGAAUAUGUCAUGUAGCGGUGAAAUGCUUAGAUAUGACAUAGAACACCGAUAGCGAAGGCAGCUUACUACAGGAUGAUUGACGCUGAGGCACGAAAGCGUGGGGAGCAAACAGG